rnacentral:rRNA from 1 species
AUUGAACGCUGGCGGCAUGCCUUACACAUGCAAGUCGAACGGCAGCAUGGAGAGCUUGCUCUCUGAUGGCGAGUGGCGAACGGGUGAGUAAAGCAUCGGAACGUACCGCGUAGUGGGGAAUAACGUAGCGAAAGUUACGCUAAUACCGCAUACGCACUGAGGUGGAAAGCAGGGGAUCGUAAGACCUUGCGCUAUACGAGCGGCCGAUGUCAGAUUAGCUAGUUGGUAGGGUAAAGGCCUACCAAGGCGACGAUCUGUAGCGGGUCUGAGAGGAUGAUCCGCCACACUGGGACUGAGACACGGCCCAGACUCCUACGGGAGGCAGCAGUGGGGAAUUUUGGACAAUGGGGGCAACCCUGAUCCAGCCAUGCCGCGUGAGUGAAGAAGGCCUUCGGGUUGUAAAGCUCUUUCGGCCGGGAAGAAAUCGCACAGGCUAAUACCCUGUGUGGAUGACGGUACCGGCAUAAGAAGCACCGGCUAACUACGUGCCAGCAGCCGCGGUAA